rnacentral:rRNA from 1 species
UAUUGGACAAUGGGGGAAACCCUGAUCCAGCAAUGCCGCGUGAAUGAAGAAGGCCUUCGGCCCGUAAAGUUCUUUCGCUUACGAUGAUAAUGACAGUAGUAAGAUAAGAAGGUCCGGCUAACUCUGUGCCAGCAGCCGCGGGGGAGACAGAGGGACCUAGCGUCGUCCCGAAUGACUGGGCGUAAAGGGUGCGUAGGUGGUUAUUUAAGUAGAGUGUUAAAUCCUUGGGCUCAACCCAAGAAUCGCAUUCUAUACUGGAUGACUAGAGUAGGGGAGAGGGGGAUUGGAAUUCCUAGUUAGAGGUAAAUUCGUAGAUAUUAGGAGGAACACCAGAGGCGAAGGCGAAUCUCGGCCCAUUACUACACUAGCACGAAG